UCCCAGUUCGGAUUGCAGUCUGCAACUCGACUGCAUGAAGCUGGAAUCGCUAGUAAUCGCGAAUCAGAAUGUCGCGGUGAAUACGUUCCCGGGUCUUGUACACACCGCCCGUCACACCAUGGGAGUUGGUAACGCCCGAAGUCAGUGACCCAACCGCAAGGGAGGGAGCUGCCGAAGGCGGGACCGGUAACUGGGGUGAAGUCGUAACAAGGUAUC
rnacentral:rRNA from 1 species